rnacentral:misc_RNA from 1 species
AAAGUCGUAACAAGGUCUCCGUAGGUGAACCUGCGGAGGGAUCAUUACCGAGUGAGGGCUUCCCGCCCGACCUCCAACCCUUUGUGAACAAUCUUGUUGCUUCGGGGGCGACCCUGCCGGCACUCCGUCGCCGGGCGCCCCCGGAGGAUUUCUAAACACUGCAUCUUUGCGUCGGAGUUUAAAACAAAUUAAACAAAACUUUCAACAACGGAUCUCUUGGUUCUG